rfam:Agrilus planipennis Contig19124, whole genome shotgun sequence.
CCUCUUAUAGCUUAGUGGUCACAGCAUUGGUAAGUAAAGCCAAAGGUCCCGGGUUCGAUUUCCGGCAAGGGUG